rnacentral:lncRNA from 1 species
UUUUGGGAGCCUGUGGUGGGCUAAGAUGACCCAAGAAGAUACUAUUGGGCUAGUAGUUUGAGGCCUUAUUUUGAUGAAUUUGAUUCGAUUCGGACUUGGGAUUUGACCCAAGAUUUAUUCCGGACUCGGGAUUUGACCCGGGUUGUUUCAUAUGGUAUCAGAGCCGACUCUCGAAAGCUCGGGUCGGGUCAUCCGAUCG